UGGAGGGCAAGUCUGGUGCCAGCAGCCGCGGUAAUUCCAGCUCCAAUAGCGUAUAUUAAAGUUGUUGCAGUUAAAAAGCUCGUAGUUGAAUUUCGGGAUCAAUAUGUUGGUCGUGCUUCGGUACGUACUGGUAUUAUUGGUUUCUCCCUUCUGAAGAACCUUGAUGUCAUUAAUUUGGUGUCUUGGGGAAUCAGGACUGUUACUUUGAAAAAAUUAGAGUGUUUA
rnacentral:rRNA from 1 species